rnacentral:tRNA from 1 species
ACUCCGAUAGCCCAACUGGCAGAGGCCACCGCCUCAGAAGCGGUGCAGUCCGGGUUCGAAUCCCGGUCGGAGUA